GUCCCUAUCGUCUAGAGGCCUAGGAUAUCGCCCUUUCACGGCGGUAACCGGGGUUCGAAUCCCCGUAGGGACG
rnacentral:tRNA from 1 species